rnacentral:rRNA from 1 species
UACAGAGGUCUCAAGCGUUGUUCGGAUUCAUUGGGCGUAAAGGGUGCGUAGGUGGCGCGCUAAGUCAGGUGUGAAAUUUCGGAGCUUAACUCCGAAACUGCAUUUGAUACUGGCGUGCUUGAGGACUGGAGAGGAGACUGGAAUUCACGGUGUAGCAGUGAAAUGCGUAGAGAUCGUGAGGAAGACCAGUGGCGAAGGCGGGUCUCUGGACAGUUCCUGACACUGAGGCACGAAGGCCAGGGGGAGCAAAACCGGGG